rnacentral:rRNA from 1 species
AUACGGAGGGUGCAAGCGUUACUCGGAAUCACUGGGCGUAAAGCGCGCGCAGGCGGCUAUUUAAGUUGGAUGUGAAAGCCUACGGCUCAACCGUAGAACUGCAUCCAAAACUAUUUAGCUAGAGUGUGGGAGAGGAAGAUGGAAUUAGUUGUGUAGGGGUAAAAUCCGUAGAGAUAACUAGGAAUACCAAAAGCGAAGGCAAUCUUCUGGAACACUACUGACGCUGAGGCGCGAAAGCGUCGGGAGCAAACAGAAUUAGAAACCCUGGUAGUCC